rnacentral:rRNA from 1 species
AGAACGAACGCUGGCGGCAUGCCUAAUACAUGCAAGUCGAACGAGAUCUUCGGAUCUAGUGGCGCACGGGUGCGUAACGCGUGGGAAUCUACCCUUGGGUUCGGAAUAACAGUUGGAAACGACUGCUAAUACCGGGUGAUGACGAAAGUCCAAAGAUUUAUCGCCCAGGGAUGAGCCCGCGUAGGAUUAGCUAGUUGGUGAGGUAAAGGCUCACCAAGGCUACGAUCCUUAGCUGGUCUGAGAGGAUGAUCAGCCACACUGGGACUGAGACACGGCCAGACUCCUACGGGAGGCAGC